AACGUAGGAGGCAAGCGUUAUCCGGAGUUACUGGGCGUAAAGCGCAAGUAGGCGGAUGGACAAGUUGGUUGUGAAAGCUCCCGGCUAAACUGGGAGAGGCCGAUCAAGACUGUUCGUCUGGAGAGUGAUAGAGGGGCGCAGAAUUCGGGGUGUAGCGGUGAAAUGUGUAGAGAUCCCGAGGAAUACCAGAGGGGAAGCCGGCGCCCUGGGUCAUAUCUGACGCUGAGAUGCGAAAGCGUGGGGAGCGAACGGG
rnacentral:misc_RNA from 1 species